GUACACCAUAAAUAUGUACAACUUUUAUUUGUCAAUUAAAAAAGAAUUUCGUGCAUGGCCCCUGCUCAAGGAUGACACGCAAAUUCGUGAAGCAUUCCUGAUCUUU